ensembl:lncRNA
AAGAAGAGCAAUGGGAAAGAGAUGGCAGAGAAAUUCUAGGAGUGACAUGAAAUAUGGGGAAAGGAGUGACAGGUGAAGAUGGGGACAGAGAGAGGGAUGGGCAGUGAGUGAGUGCCUCUGGGCAGACAUUGGCUCAGUCAGGAGUUGAGAGGAGAGAGGACUGAAAGAUUUGUGGGGAAUGCAGUAGGAUAAUGGUGCAGUACUAGAUGAUAUAAAGUGUGGAGCAGAGAGGGGAAAUAGGGAAGACGGUGUGCGGCUGGAUUAGAGGAGGAGGGUGGAGGAGUCGGCAUAAGAGAAGGACAGAUUUGACUCAGAAAGCUCAAUGGAUUACAGAUUUGUGAGCUGGUGGUUUGUCACUACUUGCUGGCAGUUACAUUCUCUGUCUGCUUCUCUAUGCCAUUUCUCUCUCUCCAGCUCAACUUUAGGGCAGAGUAAGCUCUGUGGCUGAGUGUAGUCAGAGCAAACUGAGAGGGCAAAAGGGAGAGGCAGUAGAGCUGGUGAGGUGCUUGUAACUGGACCUGUUUCUCCUUGCUUUGGAAUGUGACUCUCUCAAUUCAAGAAGCUUCAAUGACUCAAUCACUGAUGGGAUACUUCUCUCCCUAAGAACAUCAGGUGGAAUUAAAUCUGACAAAGACUCUUUGAUUGAAAUGGGAGUGAAGCAAUGGGAGCGGAGCAUCCAAAUUCUCCAGCAUGUGGUCUCCUCUCCAGCUCCCAUCAACCCCCAGGAGAAGAUGAAGGGAGCUUUGAGUCUCUCAGGCGGAAGGGUGUCCAGUAUGAUAACUGCCAUGGUGGACUGUCCAUGGAUCACCGUGGAGACCUGUGAUUGACAGACAGGCACUAGCCCCCGUCUGGCUGGCUGGCAGGCCGUCAUUACGAUGAGCAGGAGCAGAUUUGCUAUGCUGGCGACAGGACCGCACGGGAAAUGUCAACGACCAUCAGAGCCCCAGACAGACUUCCUCCCCUCCCCCAAGUACCUCACCUAAUGUCAGCUAAUGCCCAUGCUCAUCAUCCAGACCCUCGGUACCAUCAACACAGCUUCACAUACUUCAUCUACACUCAUUUACAAACCACAUGCACACAAAGCACUCUACCCCUGUAUACUUCGUCCAACAACUCAACACGCCUCACCCAAACCCCCACAUGGCUCACCCAUCCCUCACAUAUUUCACCCCAACCCCUAUGUAUCACCCAACGGCCUCACACCUCAUCCAACCACCACAGUACCUCACUCCUUAUGUGCGUCAUCCGCCCCACACAUCCACCCGUCACCCCCCCCGUCACCCCCCAUGCACCUCAGCCAGCCUCCUAUAUUAAUACCAUGUCUCCCUCUAUUGGCCUAUUGCCCAGCAGCACUCUGCAUGUUAACAUUUCAAAAUUCCUCAAAUGGUGAGAAAGAAGUAUUUUCUUGCCUUCAGUCUAUGUGAACAGCCAGUCUGCCCUGCAUGCCAGACAGCUAGCUAGAACAUCACGUGUGGUCAGUUCUGAGACAGACUGGCACUCUGACAGGCACCCUGACCAGAGUAAGUGCCUCACACAUAUUACAGCAGUUUACUGCAGUUUGGCAGGACACUGACAACAAGACCAGCCAAUGCCUGGCAAACUGACUGACCCCCGGUCUAGUUGGCACCUAGUAAGAUAAGGAGAAAAUAUAAGGAAUAUGACAUUGAGAUCAUGUGUAAGUGAAAAAGGUUUCGGUAAUUAUUUUCUCUUUCUUGACGUGUUUUUUUUUUCUGCAAACGUACACACAGUGCAAACGUUUAGGAAAUCUGUUCCAAGGUAUCUCUAGAGUAAAGUCUUAACAGUCAUCCUUCUCCUCUCCGGGCCCAGACACAGCGUCAUGUUCAUGUUGGUACUAUUCAGAGCUCUGCUGCCUUGAAUGAUACCACAAAACUAAAUAAACACAUUAAAAUGGCUUCCUGUCGCCUCCCAUUGGCGACACAGGAAGAAAUCUCAGUUUCAUUACAUAGGAAAUUAAAAGGAAGGGUAUUUGUAGAGUACAAGGAGGAAAGGUGAGGAAAACUUUCUGCGAGACCACAAUCUAACUAUAUUACAUAUAAUCACUCAUUGAAAUAGUUUUUUAUUUAUUUGAAUUCUGUUCCUCCAGCCUGGGAUUUUUAAAAUUCCUGCCAUCGAUCUAGAAGCUGCUUGAAGCAGUGGGAGAGAGGGUUAGAUCUGUGGUAUGGAAAUACUGGGCAGAAGUUAUGAAUGAGGCAAUCUAAAAAAUUAAUAGGUAAAUCAAUGAAGCAUUCAAUGUGCAUCAACAUUGACUUAAUCAAGCAUUCGUCUUUAUGGUCUUGUAUUAUUGAUUUUAUAUCAACGUAUCAAGUUGAAAUCAAAAUUAUUUUUGCUUCUGUACAUUUUGAGGAUUGACUGAAAACCUGUCCCUUGCAUUAGAAAUAAAAUGCAAUGCAAAAUAAAGAGUUAUCUGUU